CAUCCCCAGACAUGCCCGCCGCCCCCGUCGGCGACAUGCCCAGGUAGCCCCGGUCCUCAAGGCUACGGCACGAGUCCUUCGUGCUGAUCGACCCCCGUUCGCUUCGCAUCCUGUCCGCGAACAGCCGUCGCCCUGCGAUGGUGGAUGC
rfam:Candidatus Accumulibacter sp. 66-26 scnpilot_expt_750_p_scaffold_332, whole genome shotgun sequence.